rnacentral:lncRNA from 1 species
AGGAGAUGCUGUGGUCUGGAGCCAGCCCUCCGAGCACCAGGCCUCUGCCCCGUGGGGCAAGGUGGCCCCGCUUCCUGGCAACAGCUGGGGGUCUACACUGACAGAAGCCCCCCCCACAGCAGCAUCCCCUCCUCCAUAUGUGCUUGUGGCUCCCUCCCUCUGGCACCUGUCAGAACCCUGCAGCCCCAUUUUAUGGGUCCUCUGUCACGUCGUUGGCAUGAACUAACCCCCCCACCCAAAUGGCAAGUGGAAACAUCUGGAAGUUUGGACUGAAGCCUCACAGCGGCCUCCUGAAACUGUCAACACCCCUAUGGCCCCGUCCUCCCCUUCUCCUCACCCUGAACACCAGGCGGUAAAAUCUAGAGUGUCUGGGGACAAUUAAGGACACUCUUAUGCUCCUCAGGAAAUCAGGGCUGAUGUCUGUGCUGCUGCAGAGAAGCCGAUGGUGCUGGGGGCUCGGGGAGCUGGGGCUAAAGUCACCCGCCCUCGCGGGCCACCUGGUCUCCCCAACACCUGCCGAGACUCGGGCUCUGGUGCUGGCAGCAGCUUGGUGGCACCUCACACAGGCUGUCUGGUGGUGACGCUGCGUGACACAGCAGCGCAGCUUCUGAGGGAGGUGGCUGCAUCCCCGCCCUGAAGCCUCAGCGAGCUCCACGUCUCCACCGUCUUCAGAGGGAUUCCGGGCCCAGGACUCAUCCUCUUAAAAAGGAAUUGCAGUCGACAGCACUGGCUGGACUGUCACUGUCUCCGGCCGGGAGAAGGCAGCGCGGCUGCCAGCAACACACGGUUUUAACUCGGUCACACCCUAUCUGGGAUGGUCCAUGCCCGAGUCAGCGUGCAUGCAGCUCCUAGCUCUCUUCGCUCCUCAAGUGGCGGACUGCGAUGUUUGGGACUUGUCAUAAAAAUGAGGAGACAGGUCCAUGGAAGGGAAGGCAGUCGCCCUACACAGCACCAUUUGCACGUCCUCUGCCUCCAUCAUGGCUCACCUACCCUCGGUCCCACCCCUCAGAGCUCGGCCAGGACGGAAGCUGGUGCCACGGCCCCUCAAACGUCCAUAGUUGAGAACGGUUUAACCCACCCCUCCUGGCUAGAAAUGUGCAUUUUAUCCUGGGUUCUGAAGCUUCCACAGGAAGGAAUAGAUCUCUAAUGGUCGGGGGUCAGGUGCCAUGAAGCAG